GGGUUAAAAAAAAAAAAACCUGUCAAACUCGAACUCAAUAUUAUUCUCCCAAUGGUUGUGUCCAUGCAUCCUCUGCUGGCCUCCCCCACCUUAUUCAGAAAUAGAUACUGCUCCUUGACCAAAAGGAUGGUAGAUGUCUGAAGCUGAGCACAUCCUAGAAACUCAUUCCCUCUGUUCACAUGAUUGGUCCAGAGAGUAGGCACAGAAACUAAGAAAGACAGAAAUCGCUUUGGUCACUCUCCGUCCUGCCCUCUCCAUGCUUUGCAGAUGCAUCCUCUUUGUUUUUGUUCCUUGCAUCUGAGAGUCUUGAAAGGGAGCUUUUGGAAGAAAUAAGGAGGGGGAGAGAGAGAGACAGAGAAAGAGUGGGGACGGUGGGGGAGGACACUCUAAGAAGUUCUACUCAGAGUUCAUUUUUUUACUGACUGGAGGUGUAGGAGUGGUAGAGGGCAGAUGGAAUGUGCGGACUGAAAAGAUGUAGCCCAACCACUGUGAAAGCAAUGUAAGACAGAG